rnacentral:rRNA from 1 species
AACCUCCGCAAUGGGCGAAAGCCCGACGGGGUCAGUCCGAGUGGUCCCCGCUGAGGGGACCUUUUGCCAGCUGUAAAUAGGCUGGAGAAUAAGGGGUGGGCAAGUUUGGUGUCAGCCGCCGCGGUAAUACCAGCACCCCGAGUGGUCGGGACGAUUAUUGGGCCUAAAGCAUCCGUAGCCGGUCCAGUAAGUCCUCCGUUAAAUCCAACGGCUCAACCGUUGGGCUGCGGGGGAUACUGCUGGACUAGGGGGCGGGAGAGGCGAGGGGUAUUCCCGGGGUAGGGGUAAAAUCCACUGAUCCCGGGAGGACCACCAGUGGCGAAGGCGCCUCGCUAGAACGCACCCGACGGUGAGGGAUGAAAGCUGGGGGAGCGAACCGGAUUAGAUACCCGGGUAGUCCCAGCCGUAAACGAUGUAGGCUCGGUGUUGGAUUACCUAAGUGGUAAUCCAGUGCCGCAGGGAAGCCGUUAAGCCUACCGCCUGGGGAGUACGGCCGCAAGG